UAAUAUUAUUUAAAUGAACUAGGCUAACGUUGAACAGAUGUGUGUUCAUCUCAUCCUCACAGACUGCUGCAUAUUUACCGGUUCUUGCUGUGAGAUGUUACUCCACUCUUCCAUCAAGACACUUGCUAGUUCUCGUAGCCUACAUGCCGGGGGAACAUGUGGUUUGGCACUGCAAGGAAGCUGUCCUUCCUGUAGCACUGUCUUAGGUGUCUUACAUUACGGACAUUGCAGUUUAAUUCUCUGUUCACAUCUGCAGUCCUCAUGCCUCCUGCAGCAGGUUAGAGGGUCGGACUUGUAACCCAAAGGUUGCGGGUUAGUGAAUGUACAGCGCUCUCUUCCACUCUCAAUACCACGACUGAGGUGAGACCAUUGAGGCACCGAACCCCCAACUACAAAAAAAAAAAAAAAAAGGAUGUUCAACCAGGUGAUCAGGGACCCUGGACAUAUUUCUCCUGGGCUGUGUCCGAAAUCGGCCCCUAUACUGGGCACUAUUUGAGGGAACAGCCAUUUGUCUUUUGUUCCCGCGUCUGACCAGAAGAUGGCGCCCGCAGCUGAAUCAUUCAUCAAUCUAUUUUCCAAACCGCUGGUCCAAUGUGGCUACAGCGUAAUAUCAAUACAGUAAGCAAAGGGAGGUGUGGUGGUCCCAACCUUAUCAAGCUCACUCCUGCAUCAGACCCUGCUCUCCUCUUGUUUCCUUUAAGUGCAAUCUAUGUUUUUUCGCACCUUCGGAAUCCAUGACAGAUUUUCAGAUAAGCCUGAGCAACUUUGAUGAAGGAAAUUGAAGACAAAAUAUGACACGGGUGAAAAGGACGGCGUGUGUUCUUAUUAUUGCCUCAGUGCCUUGAUGUACAAUUUUUAUUAAAUAAAUGUGAGACUGAAUUUCUUAAAUUAUUUCAUUUCUUCAGAAAAUUGGAUUUUGAUGUAUUUUAAGGUUUUUUUUACCAGUAUUUUUUCAUUUGUCUAAAUUUAUGAUCAAGUUUUUUUUGUACAAUUUAAAUGUAUAUAAAUUUUAUCUCUGGAUUACUAGUUAAACUUUCACAUGAAUCAUACUGUUCCUGGUAGCAACUAUAAAGUACUUCAUCAUUGUCAGGCAAUUGUAACACUCGUUAAAAAAUAAAAAUUGUUUGAAUUAAUUGAAAGAUUGAAAUGC